rnacentral:lncRNA from 1 species
CUCUACACUCCUCAGGAAACAAUCGAGUACAAUGGUCAAUGGUCAAUAAACUAAUAAACUAGAAAAUGGCAAUAUAAUCCGUUUGAAUUUGUCAAAAUUGCCGUUGUAUUCCAAAAAUCGAAAGAAAAAAAAAACGAAAUUAGAUGGAUUUUUCCUACGAAGCAUUCGGUUGUACUGGAUCAUCGUUUCCAUUCUUUAUAAUUAUUUUUGGAUAUCUAGUCUUAUGCCUUCUGGUCCUUGCUUCAACUUCAUGUUCUGUUCAGGGGAUCUUGUCUCCUUAAAUGGAUGGAUCGUUUAUUUUGCAGACAUCCCUUCACAUCAAGAUCUUUGAUAGUGACUUUUGAUCUUGUGAAUCAUCGCCUCUAUGCAAAAGAACACAUAAAUUCCUUUAGAUCUUGUAAGGAAUCAUCUUAUACUUCUUUAAGAACUAAGGAGUUUCAUAAAAAGACGGAAUAAUCGACUGAAAAUCCCAGUGAGGAUUACUCACAGAAUAAUCAUCCUCCAUCCACAGCUCAUUCAAUGAAAUUAUUGAGUCCAUUCCUCCUUAAGUCAACUCUGAUUCGUUUCUGUUUAUUCCUAACUAAAGAAAAUAUAUUGAAAAUAUUCAUAAAUGACGAGGAUGUCGUCGAUCAAAGUUACAUUGUAACUAAAAGUAGACUACCAUAUUAAUAAAAGUUUUUGUAGAAUAAUCGCUUUAUACACAAUUUGGUACGUCCAAGGUAUUUACCUAGACUAGAUGAGAUCUAUCCCUUCUGAAUGAAGAUAAAGAAUAUUAAUGUUGUUUCUAUAGAUUUAAAGAUAUUGUUGUUACAUCAAUUAAAAUUUCUAGUCAAACUCAUGAUAGAGAAUCUUAAAAAAUUAUAUAUGAAAUAUACUAUGAAUGAAAAACGAAAUGCUUGUAGUUGUCUUUGAUAGCCAGUUACAAUGCACCUACUCGUUAAAGAAGGAAUAAAUAGCAAGAAUCUUAAAUUCGAUUAGUAUGGAAUAUACAUAAGUGAAGAGAUUAAUAUUUUAUUGAAAGCAAAAAUUUAGCCCCGUAAAACCUAUACUUUAUUCAAACAGUCUUAAACUAAAAUACUCCAGGACUGGUUUUUUUACAUGCAGGUCAAAUUUGGUCAUCGUCGCUCACAAAAAAUGCUCCACAAAUUAUCCAUCCAAUUAAGUUUUUAAUACUAAUCGUUUAAAGUCAACGUAAAGGACCUGCUUCAAACAUUUGUAACAUAUUUUUAAUUAUUCUCUAUAAUUGACUAGAGCUAAGAUGUAAACCAUAGCAAGGGAAUCCGCUCGGGGGAAUUUUUGUCUUGAGCAAGAAAAAAAUAUCGAAAAAAGGUCAUCUGAUCAAAUUUAAGCCCAGAAGAAUUUUUUUAUGCGGGCCUUCCCCUCCAAAAUAUAUAUAUAAUCCUACGGACUGCAUAGAUAUAACUCAAUUAGUAAUUUGUAACUAUCUCCCGAAAUUCAAAAUUUCCCUCAAAUUUUUGAUCUGCUGUUGAUAAUUAAAGAUUUGAAUUACCACCAUUUCAUAAUUAUUCAAAUUGAAAGCGUAGCAACAAUUCAAAGUCUGAACUAUGGAGUUAUUGAAAAGCAAAAGAGGAUCAAUUUUGAAAUGAAUGUAUAAUAAAUAUAAUUUAUAUGUUUUUAAUUUAAAACAAUAAGACUUUUGACAUUAUACAAUUAAUUUUUGUGUUACUAUAAUUUCCUUUAGUAAAUUAUCUUCUGUUCUAAUUUAGAAAUACAGUACUUAUAUAAAUUA